rnacentral:lncRNA from 1 species
GGUCGGCCGGUGAUAGACUUCGGAUGGCAUUGGAGAGGUUUGGUAGACAUCGAAGGCGAUCGAUUGUUGUAGGAAUCCAGUUGCUGGAGCCUGAUCGUCGUAGAAGCUCAUCCAAUAUCCAACCGCUAUGGAGGUUCGGUCGAAGUUUGAUUCUUGUAGAAGGCUGAAAGGAGACCGCUUAUUGUAGAAGCUCGAUUGAAGGUCAGUUGUCGUGGG